UACAGAGGGUGCUAGCGUUGUUCGGAAUCAUUGGGCGUAAAGGGCGUGUAGGCGGUUUGUUAAGUCAUGUGUGAAAUCCCUCGGCUCAACCGGGGAACGACGCAUGAAACUGGCAAGCUAGAGUACCAAAGAGGGGGGUGGAAUUCCUGGUGUAGCGGUGAAAUGCGCAGAUAUCAGGAGGAACACCGGUGGCGAAGGCGGGUCUCUGGGCCGAUACUGACGCUGAGGAGCGAAAGCGUGGGGAGCGAACAGG
rnacentral:rRNA from 1 species